UUCAAGUAAAUAUUCUAGUAAGACAUCUAUAUAUUGAUACUGCACGAAGAUUUGAAAGCUCUAGCACAACGGUCCUCUCCUGAAUGGAGUGCAGGUGACAGCACAAAAUCCUGAGAAAGGUGGAACAUUUGUGACUAAUAGAGAGCGAGUAUGUCAUAUAAAGGUUAUAGUCUAUAGUUGAGGCUUUAUAAUUUUCCUUGCAUUUUGCUUGGUU